ensembl:lincRNA
GUUUUCAAAUAAAUUCUCAUAUUCUGAGAACUUUAGGUUUACUUUAAAAGGAUUGUUAUCUAAGUCAUCAUCAUAUUCUACUGUUUUAUAGCUUGACUUUGUGGCAAGUGUUUCGGCAAUGGACAAAGGGAGGUGACUGUCCUGAGAGAAGAACAUACUGAAGAAAUAAAGCUUUCAGUGAAUAAAGGUUUCAGAAGCCACGAAGACAAUACAAAACCAAUUAUCUGUUAUUGUGAAACUGUAAAGAUGAAAAAGAGAACACGGAAAAUAACUCUAAAGCUCCAAAUUGAAGAAGUGAAGAAUUGAGGUUAGCUUUUUGGGCCCUCAUGAGCAGAAGAUGGCAGCCAGGAGGGUGUAGUUUUCCACAAUUACCGAGUAAAAUUGCUGAAUACUGUGCCAAUUCAACUACCCUAAAGCAAAUCUUCGUUCUAAGGAAUGUUUAG